UACGUAGGGGCAAGCGUUGUCCGGAAUCAUUGGGCGUAAAGAGCGUGUAGGCGGCCAGGUAGGUCUGCUGUGAAAACUCGAGGCUCAACCUCGAGAUGUCGGCGGAAACCAUCUGGCUAGAGUCCGGAAGAGGAGAGUGGAAUUCCUGGUGUAGCGGUGAAAUGCGCAGAUAUCAGGAAGAACACCCGUGGCGAAGGCGGCUCUCUGGGACGGUACUGACGCUGAGACGCGAAAGCGUGGGGGAGCGAACAGG
rnacentral:rRNA from 1 species